AUGACUAAUGUUACUUUGCUCCGCUCUUUGUUUCUUUCCAGCCCCUCUCCAGUUCCAGCGUUUCUUCUGUUUCUUCUCAAUGUGACGAAACCUGAGCAUGAAUGGGAAGAGUUCACUCGUAAUGCGGCCAGCCCCUGCGGUGCCGAGCUGAGAAAGUCUGUGGUUGUUAUUUCCUCCUGCGGGGUGUUUGUGGAUGACCAUCGCUGUCCCGAGAGCACCAGCCUGCGCAGCAGACAGCACGGUGCGGCCAGGCAGACGGUGGGCAGUGUCUGGGCAAACGUGGUGGUGUGUCCUGCUCAUGGCCAUGCCCAGCUCAAACCAGCUCCAACCCCGGCAAUGUCAACUUCAAAGGCUUCCCCACGCUGCAGCCACACUUCUGCCUGCGGAGACAAUUUUGGAAUCUCCUGAAGGCACAAGGAUGUUGGGACGCUGCGUGGCCUUUGGGGGCUCCAAGGGGAGAGAGCAGGACUCCAGGCACUGCCGUGCUGGCAGCAGGAGGGGUGCUGACUUGUCCUUGUGCACGGAAACCCUCCAGAGCUCUCCCGGCUGACAUUGGAUCAGAGACAAACAUAAACAAGCGCAGCCCUCCCAAGGCCGAAGGAAAGCCCCAGCCCCCUGGGGAGGCAGAGUUAAUUCCAGGAUGCUGCUGGAUGAGCUCGAGUGAGGGCUUGGCUGUGGCAAAGCUCUCGCUUCCCGUCUUCGUUCUGGGCAACUUUUCUGGUAGGGGAAGUUGUCUGAGAUGCCAAUAAAGAUAAUAAUGUAUGAAGUGAUUUCUUUAAG
rnacentral:lncRNA from 1 species